rnacentral:rRNA from 1 species
ACGGAAGGCAGCAGUGGGGAAUAUUGCACAAUGGGGGAAACCCUGAUGCAGCGACGCCGCGUGAGUGAAGAAGUUAUUCGUAAUGUAAAGCUCUAUCAGCAGGGAAGAAAAUGACGGUACCUGACUAAGAAGCCCCGGCUAACUACGUGCCAGCAGCCGCGGUAAUACGUAGGGGGCAAGCGUUAUCCGGAUUUACUGGGUGUAAAGGGAACGUAGACGGUCUGGCAAGUCUGAUGUGAAAGGCAGGGGCUCAACUCCUGGACUGCAUUGGAAACUGUCAGUCUUGAGUGUCGGAGAGGUAAGCGGAAUUCCUAGUGUAGCGGUGAAAUGCGUAGAUAUUAGGAGGAACACCAGUGGCGAAGGCGGCUUACUGGACGAUAACUGACGUUGAGGCUCGAAAGCGUGGGGAGCAAACAGGAUUAGAUACCCUGGUA